GGUUCGAUGGUGUAGUUGGUUAUCACGUCUGUCUCACACGGGUUUGAUCAUCUGAUCACGUGAUUACACAGGAGGUCUCCGGUUCGAGCCCGGGUCGAACCA